rnacentral:rRNA from 1 species
CAGUAGCCGCGGUAAUACGAAGGGUGCAAGCGUUACUCGGCAUUACUGGGCGUAAAGCGUGCGUAGGUGGUGGUUUAAGUCCGUUGUGAAAGCCCUGGGCUCAACCUGGGAAUUGCAGUGGAUACUGGGUCACUAGAGUGUGGUAGAGGAUAGUGGAAUUUCCGGUGUAGCAGUGAAAUGUGUAGAGAUCGGAAGGAACAUCUGUGGCGAAGGCGACUAUCUGGGCCAACACUGACACUGAGGCACGAAAGCGUGGGGAGCAAACAGGAUUAGAUACCCGCGUAGUCCCUGUCUCUUAUAC